rnacentral:rRNA from 1 species
UACGGGGGGGGCAAGCGUUGUUCGGAAUUACUGGGCGUAAAGGCUCGUAGGCGGCCAACUAAGUCAGACGUGAAAUCCCUCGGCUUAACCGGGGAACUGCGUCUGAUACUGGAUGGCUUGAGUUUGGGAGAGGGAUGCGGAAUUCCAGGUGUAGCGGUGAAAUGCGUAGAUAUCUGGAGGAACACCGGUGGCGAAGGCGGCAUCCUGGACCAACACUGACGCUGAGUGAGCGAAAGCCAGGGGAGCAAACGGG